rnacentral:misc_RNA from 1 species
UUCGUAGGUGGCGAACGUUGUCCGGAUUCACUGGGCGUAAAGCGCGCGCAGGCGGAUUGGUCAGUCUGAGGUUAAAGCUCCCGGCUCAACUGGGAGAGGUCCUUGGAUACUGCCAGUCUUGAGGGGCCUAGAGGAGAGUGGAAUUCCCGGUGUAGUGGUGGAAUGCGUAGAUAUCGGGAGGAACACCAGUGGCGAAAGCGACUCUCUGGGGGCAACCUGACGCUGAGGAGCGAAAGCGUGGGGAGCAAACAGG